rnacentral:rRNA from 1 species
CCCUUUGUGAACAUACCUUAACUGUUGCUUCGGCGGGUAGGCGUCCCCUAAAAAGGACGUCUCCCGGCCCUCUCCCGUCCGCGGGUGGGGCGCCCGCCGGAGGAUAACCAAACUCUGAUUUAACGACGUUUCUUCUGAGUGACACAAGCAAAUAAUCAAAACUUUUAACAACGGAUCUCUUGGUUCUGGCAUCGAUGAAGAACGCAGCGAAAUGCGAUAAGUAAUGUGAAUUGCAGAAUUCAGUGAAUCAUCGAAUCUUUGAACGCACAUUGCGCCCGCCAGCAUUCUGGCGGGCAUGCCUGUUCGAGCGUCAUUUCAACCCUCAAGCUCUGCUUGGUGUUGGGGCUCUACGGUUGACGUAGGCCCUUAAAGGUAGUGGCGGACCCUCUCGGAGCCUCCUUUGCGUAGUAACAUUUCGUCUCGCAUUGGGAUUCGGAGGGACUCUAGCCGUAAAACCCCC